CUAAACUGUCAUAGCAACUAUUUGGCUAACGAAAACAGAAAAUUUGAGGUUCCUCUUUCCAUGAGGAUAGAUUAGACCUUAUCAAAAAACCUCCUGUCUGUCUUUCUCCACCUGCACCCAAAGUGCCCUAUGAAUUCUGGCAAAAUGUAAAAGUUAAUUACUUAAAAGAACUAGAGAAUGGCCAAACACAGGCAUACAUUAACAAAAGAAAAUGACACUGGGUAAGUUUCCAUUUAUUAAUGGCUUCUUGCCUAGUCCAUCCUUGAGCUGAAAUGUGAAUGCAAAGCUGCAGUCUUCCUAUAGCUCUGAAAUCAGAAAAUUGUGUCCAUAAAAUCUGCACCCAAACUCCACUGACCUGUGAAAAAUGUAUGUCUGGCAUAAACUAUAAAAAUCUAGCUAGGUAUAGAAGAACUAGAAUAAGAAUUCAACGGCCACCAACUUCAUAGAAGGUAGUUUGGAGUUUAUGUCCAAUCAAAUUGACUACAUGCUAAAACAACAGAUCAAUAUUUUAUUGAGAAACAUGGCAGAAUCAUGCAUUAUUUACAGUGUUGAGGAUAUGAUUUAAAAGUACUAGCUACAUGAAGAAAUGGUAAAACAGAAAAUAUGAUCCAUAUGCAAGAGAAAAGGCAAUCAAUGGAAACCAACCAUAAUAUGACACAGAUGUUAGAUGUUAGGAAAAGGAUUUUAAUGUAGCUAUUAUAACUAUGCACAAGAACAGACAUACACUAAUAAAAAAUGAAUACAUCUCAGCAGAGUAAUAAACAGAACCAAAGCCAAAAACCACAUGAUUAUCUCAAUAGAUGCAGAAAAGGCCUUUGACAAAAUUCAACAACUCUUCAUGCUAAAAACUCUCCAUAAAUUAGGUAUUGAUGG
rnacentral:lncRNA from 10 species